GUCUCUUUGGAGACAUCCGAUAAAAUUGGAACGAUACAGAGAAGAUAAGCAUUGCCCCUGUGCAAGGAUGAAUAAUCAAUAUUUGUGUUUCAUGUGUCCUAUUUUC